AAUCGGAACUGAAGUCAGUAGCAUCGCCCAUUUGCCAUUCACUGCAGUAGCAAAAGUAGUACUCUGUGGUGGGUUAAUCGGUUUGAGGCAGCUCCUUAAAUGAACAUUUGUGUUUCAUUUUUCUGUUAUUUUCCCGAACAUGAAAAGACGAUAAAACUGAAAUGGAAAAGAUCUAUUCCAGAGGGGAGCUUCACCACUUCAUUGACGGCUUUAAUGAAGAGAAAAGCAACUGGAUGCGCUAUGUGAAUCCAGCACACUCUCCCCGGGAGCAAAACCUGGCUGCGUGUCAGAACGGGAUGAACAUCUACUUCUACACCAUUAAGCCCAUCCCUGCCAACCAGGAACUUCUUGUGUGGUAUUGUCGGGACUUUUCAGAAAGGCUUCACUACCCUUAUCCCGGAGAGCUGACAAUGAUGAAUCUCAGUAAGUGGAUUACAGAACAAAAAAAUUAAAAAUGCCAGUAAUGUCGGUUCUGCCCCUUUGAACUAAUAACAUGUUGUUUAAUUAUACGGCUUUGUCAUGUGUUGGAUGAAGUAGGUGGCUUAAGCUAGGGACUAGGAAGAGGAAAAACAUUUUUUGA
rnacentral:sRNA from 1 species